UGUGCUCUUUAGUCGAAGUUUUGUUCUUCCCCAGUCGAGUAAGAUUCGUAUUCCUUCCGGAAUCGAAUGCCUAUCCUGUAAGUCGAGAUUGCUUUUUCAGCCCUCCUUUCAGAUGAUGAGUGUCUUGGGUAUGUUCCCAAUUCACGCCUGGUUGGUCACCUAUUAUAUGCCCAAUAACCGGUAUCCCUGGUGUUCCUUCCUUCUGCUCCCUAUUAUGACUUUUUUGUCCC
rnacentral:lncRNA from 1 species